CUCAAAAAAUAAAAAAUAAAAUAAAAAAACGCCACACUGUCACGGUGCCUUGGAAGUGAAUAAAGCCUCUUUUUUCUUCAAUACAACAGACCACCGCCAACAGCUUCAACAAUGUUCUCUUCCAUGGCGCCCAAACUCUUAUUCUCUCUCCUCUUCCUCCUCUUCAUUACACCUCAGCUCACCCCUACAUUUGCCCAAAAACAGCCCCAAAUCAAUUCCAACUCAGUCCUCCUCGCUCUCCUCGACUCCCACUACACCGAACUCGCCGAGCUCGUCGAAAAGGCCCUCCUUUUGCAGACUUUGGAACAAGCUGUGUCUCAUUACAAUAUCACCAUUUUCGCACCUCAAAACGAAGCCAUCGAGCGCGACCUUGACCCAGAGUUCAAGCGAUUCUUGCUCGAACCCAGGAAUCUCAAAUCUCUCCAGACCCUCUUGCUCUAUCACAUAGUCCCCAAGAGGAUUGGGUUCAGCGAGUGGCCGGACUCAAUUACUGACUCAACCCAGCACAACACGCUUGCGAACCACCCAGUUGAGUUAUCCGCGGCAAGGGUGGUCCGCCCGGACGAUCUGGUCCGUCCAGACGGACUCAUCCACGGGAUCGAACGGUUGUUAAUCCCAGACUCCGUACAACAAGACUUCAACAAGCGGCGGAGCUUGGAAUCGAUCUCCGCCGUGAAACCGGAGGGUGCACCGGAGGUAGACCCCCGGACCCACCGCCUGAAAAAGGUUCCGCCGCCGGUUCCGGCCGGUUCGCCGCCGGUUCUCCCGAUUUACGACGCCAUGGCUCCCGGACCAUCUUUGGCCCCUGCUCCGGCGCCUGGACCCGGCGGACCACGCCACCACUUCGACGGCGAAACCCAGGUCAAGGACUUCAUCCAGACCCUCCUCCACUAUGGCGGGUACAACGAAAUGGCCGACAUUCUGGUGAAUCUGACGAACUUAGCCACUGAAAUGGGUAAACUCGUCUCUGAAGGCUAUGUUCUAACAGUUUUGGCACCGAACGACGAAGCUAUGGCAAAGCUGACAACCGAUCAGCUGAGCGAACCAGGUGCUCCGGAACAGAUCAUGUACUACCACAUAAUCCCAGAGUACCAGACCGAAGAGAGCAUGUACAAUGCGGUGAGGAGGUUCUCGAAGGUGAAAUACGAUACCCUGAGAUUAACCCACAAGGUUGUGGCUCAGGAGGCUGAUGGGUCUGUGAAAUUCGGAGAUGGUGAUGCUUCGGCGUACUUGUUCGACCCAGAUAUUUACAUCGACGGCCGGAUUUCGGUUCAGGGGAUCGACGGCGUGUUGUUUCCGGCGGAGGAGGGGAAACCGGAGACGAAGAUCCAAUCGAAAACUGUUGUUAAAGUUGUGGCCAAGCCUAGAAGAGGGAAAUUGCUUGAAGUAGCGUGCCGUAUGCUUGGGACCUUGGGGCAAGAUUCCCAGUUUACUAUAUGCCAGUGAAAAUGCUCUCCACUCCAUGCAUCAAAGAUUACUUCAAAGAAGAGCAAAGUUUGUUUUGUAGCAAAUCAAACAUGUGUAAAGUCCCACGUGAGAUGCUAUUCACUUCUCUACAAAAGGAUCUGGAGAUGAAAAAUAUGGGGGAAAAAAAAGAAGCUCUCUCUCUUUCACUCUCCACACAUUUCUCCACUGACGACCAUCACCAUCUCUAUCGUUGCCGACCACUGCCACUUUCACUGUCGUUAUUGUCGACGACCUUAACCGGCAUAUUCUUCCACUUUUACCAUUGCUUCCACCUCUACCGAUGUCUUCGCUUCCACUGCCACCAGCAUCUUCGCUUCUACAUCCAUUGUCGCUGCCGAUCAUUGUCACCUCCACAUCUAUAGUCGUCGUCGCCUCCACUUCUAGAUCUAGGCUCUUUGCUGCCGGGUCUUCUCUCUCUCUCUCUCUCUCUCUCUCUGUAUAUUGAGGAAGAUCUCAGUGAUAAAUCUAUUUAAACCAGUGAUAAAUUUGUUUAAACUAAUGAUAAAUCAGUGAUAAAUUUGUUUCUAUUGAAUUUUUGUCAAUUUAUUUUUGUGAAUUAGUAAGUGAGUGUGUAUGUAUGUGAGUAUGAGAGUGAGAAAGAAUAAGUAAUUUUAAGUGAUUUGGUAAAUACUGAUAACAUUUACCAGUGUCUGUGUGUUUCUCACAGAAACGGUGGCUGGAUGUUGCAGUGUUGAG